rnacentral:lncRNA from 1 species
CACCGGACGAUGGUUCGGUAUUUUUUGCUGGAUGAAACCCGGAAUUGGAUGACAUAAUGCGGAAUAGGCCGGUACCGGUACCGCGUUGAGUUAUGCUCUUAAAGGUGAUCCUCGCCAAGCUCAUUUUCGAGGCGAUACGGCGCCAGGAAAUAGAUCUAAUACAAGAAGCAUGAAAUUGAUACCGAUUGUUAGGCUCAUUACAUUGAUGGCUGGUUUUGCAACAUGAAAUAUUAAUGAAACUACACGUCUAUAAUAGGAAAAGUUUAAAGUACGAUAUAUAUAUAUAUAUUGCCAUUAAUAUAAUUGCCAACAUUGAAGUACGUCGUAACUUUUGUUUCUUAUUUAAUUUCUGAUUCCCACAAUGAUUCAUAUGAACUAAAUGACUUUUUUUUACUCUAAGAAGAAUGCAAAUGUAUGAUAAAUGUAUAUGAUAUAUUUUUAAGAAAAAUAAAUCAAUAUAAUCA